rnacentral:rRNA from 1 species
CCUUAGAGUUUGAUUCCUGGCUCAGGAUGAACGCUAGCGGGAGGCUUAAUACAUGCAAGUCGAGCGGUAGAUCAGCUUCGGUUGGUUGAGAGCGGCGCACGGGUGAGUAACGCGUACGCGACCUACCCUUAACAAGGGAAUAGCCCUGGGAAACUGGGAUUAAUGCCCUAUAGUAUCUAUGAGCUGCAUGGUUUAUAGAUUAAAGCUGAGGCGGUUAAGGAUGGGCGUGCGUCUGAUUAGCUAGUUGGUAGGGUAACGGCCUACCAAGGCGAUGAUCAGUAGGGGGCGUGAGAGCGUGAUCCCCCACACGGGUACUGAGACACGGACCCGACUCCUACGGGAGGCAGCAGUAAGGAAUAUUGGACAAUGGGCGCAAGCCUGAUCCAGCCAUCCCGCGUGCAGGAUGACGGCCCUAUGGGUUGUAAACUGCUUUUAUAAGGGAAGAAACCCCUCGAUGAGUUGGGGGCUGACGGUACCUUAUGAAUAAGC